UGGUUGGUAUCUUGUACCCCUAAUUCUACUGUCGGACACUUGUCCAUUUUUACCUCUCGUCUCACUUUUUCUUUUCUUUCGAGGUUCCGGGCACUUGUCCCUUUUUAUUUCCUCGUAUCUUCUCUUUUUUUAGAGCACUCAUCUCAUGAGAUAAUGUAGCAAGUGGUAGUAACAAGAUAACUUGAGCAUUAUUUCACAGGGGAAAAACAGAAAUGUUUUUGGCUAUUCUCUCCCGGAUUAGGAGUAGAAUAUUUUUGGGUGGUUCUGGAGAUGGAAAUGGGUGGAUAUAUGUGGAUGCGUACUUCCAGAGUAGAAGCAGCAUGUGUGAGUGAACGUGCAAGUGAAUCUUGAUUUAACCACAUGAUAAGCUCCU
rnacentral:lncRNA from 1 species